AAGUCGUAACAAGGUUUCCGUAGGUGAACCUGCGGAAGGAUCAUUAACACGUAUCCAACGUUAAACCCCCCUGUGAACCUUCAUUGUGCUCCCCCAUUCCGUUAGGACGCGGCAAUCCCUGGUAAAUCAUCUGGAGUGGGCUUGCAGCGCGAGGCAAGUGGCCUGGCAUUCCUCUGCUUGUUGGUGUCUGAAAGUGUCACUAGCUCUGUAAGAAUGGCGCAGUAACGAUCGCUAGAGGCCGACACGGCCGGCGACGGGUCACUGGGCUCACGCCCCCCUAUCACCUUUGCAUUGUGCGGCCACCAAACUCGAACAACUGUUAACAAUGGAUAUCUUGGUUCUC
rnacentral:misc_RNA from 1 species